CCAGUCCCCAGGCCCAUCCUGUCACCUUUUGUGACCUCUAACCCUCCAGAGCACACAUUUCCUACCCUCAGGCAUCUGGCUGCCCCAGCACCCCUGCAAGAGCGGGGAGGAGAGGUGGGAGUCAAAGCAGGAAAAACCCCAAGGCGGAACCACAAUGUUUAUAAAGAGGGUCACUGAAUUAUACGGAACAAUAUUUGCCUUGCGGGUGCAGUCCUUCCUGGAUGGGCUACGCACAGAUGCCUACACUGGCCUCGGACACGAGAACCAAGGGCUGGACUGGACAUGAGGAGUUGGCCCGCUGGACCGCAUCGGAAGCCACACGGCCUUUGCAUGGGCACAGGUCCGAGUGGGAAGGUUCCAACGACCGACCCGGACAGUGACUACCUGCCCCCAGCACCAGCGGUCCUCGCCCAGCCCUGCCGCCUCCUUGCUGAUGAUUUCCUUUGUAAGAUUACAGAUACAGAAAUGGAGGGAAAGAAGAUAAAUACAAAAUGGUAAAAGAGGUUCUCUCUGGGUGAUGGGAUUUGCGCUUGUCCACAAUCUCAAAAUAUUCCACUUUAAAUAAUAAGACAUCUUCACCCUCUGCGGUGACGGGAAGCCCAAGGAACCCCACAGUAGAUGGUGCAAUUCUGACUUCAGCCACCAGGGGACAGCCAAGACCAGCGCAUCCCGCCUCUCAGCGGCCUCAGCCACAGGAUGCGGGGCUUCCUCCAAGGGUUUUCUGGGUCCCAGGAGAAGGGAGAGGGGCAGGCACAAAGGGACAGUGUCUCUACGGAGGUGACCACAAAGUGCCUACCCACGGGUCGGCCCUCCCAACAAAAUCCAGAAGCAGAUAUUGCCAUCUUCAUUUGAUGACUGGGGAAACCGAGGCCCAGAAUGGAGAAGGGCCUUGUCCACUGUUACACAGCCCAGAAUGGCAGAGCCUGGGCUGAAACUCUCAUUUCCCCAUGCUUUGACUCAUUCCACAGAUACCCAGGGGUCACCUGGCUUUAUUUGUGACACUCAGAAUGGUGGUGCAAAAAUGGGGACCCAGACCCGGCCGUGCAGCAAACCAGGAUGAGAGGGGCUGGAGCCCAGUCUUCCUGAGCACUGUCAGCUGCCCGAGCCUUUUAGUCUAGCAUCCGUGGCCGUCCCCAGGUGUGAGGCUCCAGCAGUAGCAUUCUCCAGCAGAGUCCAGGGCUCAUCUGGUUUCCUGCCCUCUGGUGGGGGGUCUGGGGACAUCCUGGGGUCCCGCCGGGGCUGCUGGGCCUCAGGGUCUGGCCCAGGAUGUGGCUGGGAGGCCCCCAUCCCUGGCUCUACUCCCUCUGUGCCUCUCCUGAGCCUGUCCAGGCCCAGCCCAGCGUUACCCCAUCCCCAGCCCCAGAACCCUCCUUAGCAAGAGUCUUGGAGGGGCCUGUUCCACUCCAGCCAGGCUGAGAGCAGGAGGAACAGCAAGAUGAGGGCUGCAGCCAGGGUCACGGAGGGCACCAGGUCCAAGUCCUCAGGGUCAAGGAUGGCAUCGCCAGGGGCAUGGUGGGGGUCAGUAGUGGCACCGGACAGCUGGGUGUCAGAGACCUUCUCCCCUGGGGACCCUGGCCGGCCCAUCUGUGGGAGGGAGGAGGUGAGGGACAGGUCUUCCUCUGGGAAGGGCCACACUGCCCACCCUCUGCCUGUCCGUCCCAUCUCUCUCCCACCGGAGGCCCUCCAGACACAGCAGGAGCAAGGGGCCAGGAGGUGCCCCACAGAUGACCCUGGGCAGUGACUCCCUGAGCCUCAGUUUUCUGCUCUGUAAAACAAGGAUGCCGACGGCCACGGAGGGAGAUUGGAACUGGAUGAGACAGCACCUGGACUGCUUGCACUCCCUGUCACCUCCUUACCUCCCCCCUUGAGACAACUGGGGCUGGGAAGUCAGGUUCAACCCCACUGAAACCUUUGCCCCUGUGCCAGGGUGACUGGAAUGCAGCUCAGCCAGUUUCCAGGGAACCUGGAUGCCAGCAGACAGGGAGCUGUGUCAAGCUGCAGGAGGGGCUGCAUCAAGGCUGCCAGCUGCCCUCUGCCCACACAGUGCCUGGGAGGUGGGCACCAGGUUACAUCCAUCUUACAGAUGAGUGAGGCUCAGAGAAGGAAGUGGGUUCCCAAGCACUCCCAGAGGUUAGCAGAGGGGGUCUUGGCAGCCUGAGACCCUGUCCUCAGGCCUCCCCCCUGCACAGGGGCAGAGUUUGGACCAAGUCAUUUGUUAAGCUCCAAAGCCCCAGACUGACCAGGGAUGGAGACAAUCUAGGAGUAGGGGUGGUCUCUGCCUAGCCCACCCCCCAACCCUGGCAGUUCGGUAGGACAUUACCUUCCAGCCGUGGGGCUCCCACGUUGCAGGAGGGGCCUGCGCAGAGUUGCCACAGACCCCAAGGACAAGCACCUGUGAGCAGCAGCCUGCGUCGGUCAACUAAAGCCUUCCUCUGAAGACAACUCCCCACCCCUCAGGCCUCCCCCGGGGAGGGGCUUGAGCUCAAGGGUGAGGAAGGGAGGGACCCAGCCUUCACAUGGGUGUGUUCCAGGGCAAAGAAGGGAAGCUGCUCUUCCAGGCCCAGCAGAGCCAGGCACCCACACACCCAGACCCGUGCUUUCUGCUGCCUCCCAGCUGAAACUUCCAGCUGGGGGGGGGCUCUGGGAGGCUCGAGAAGAGGAGGGCUCUGAAUUCAAGUUAGCAAGGGGCUUCCUGGCACCCGCUGUGUGCCUAUGCUGUGCCAGGCACAGGGUGGGCAGAGGAGGGCAGGAGAGUCCCGCUUCUCCCCCAGAGGCCAGGUCCUGGAGCAGGUCCCUGCACGUGCACCGUUUGUGAAAGAGACAUAAGCUGGACUGAACCUCACACCCUCUGGAGCAGUUGCAUCAGAAUGCUCUGCUCUACUGCUCUCCCGGGGCUCAAACUCCUCACACUGAUUGUUGACUAAACUCCUCCACUAAUGUCACCUAGACUCUUUAUUUCAGGCGACAAAUUGGUGACCACAAAGGGACCCAGAGAGAUCACCCAAGACUGCCUGGAGCAUCAAGAGGACCUGGCACCAUGGCACCAGCAGGACCCUUUGUGCCCAACCGGCUCUCCAGAGCUCCAGCCGCUGCUCAAUGGCUCAUCCUUGCGAGGACCUACUUGGAAAUAUCAAGCCAGACAUGCUGAGGGUCUGAUACUGGCUCAGCGCAAGGUUAACAUAACAGAAGCCAAACUGUAGAAAAGAAACCAUAUUGUAACUUUGAGUGACCUCUGAUUAACUAGCCCAGACAUGCUCUGUAGAUUUUACGGCCCCUCCCAGCUGCUUUAAGUUGAUAACUUUGUUCUUUUGAGUUCC